rnacentral:rRNA from 1 species
UACGUAGGGGGCAAGCGUUGUCCGGAAUCAUUGGGCGUAAAGAGCGUGUAGGUGGCUCGGUAAGUCCGCUGUGAAAGUCCAGGGCUCAACCCUGGAAAGCCGGUGGAAACUGUCGAGCUCGAGUCCGGAAGAGGCGAGUGGAAUUCCUGGUGUAGCGGUGAAAUGCGCAGAUAUCAGGAGGAACACCGGUGGCGAAGGCGGUGAUCUGGGCCGACACUGACGCUGUAGAGCGAAAGCGUGGGGAGCGAACAGG